AGUGGCGAACUGGGGAGUAACACGUGCCUAACCUGCCCUUGAAGUAGGGGAUAACACUUAGAAACAGGUGCUAAUACCGUAUAACAACCAAAACCACCUGGUUUUGGUUUAAAAGAUGGCUUCGGCUAUCACUUUAGGAUGGACCCGCGGCGUAUUAGCUUGUUGGUAAGGUAACGGCCUACCAAGGCAAUGAUACGUAGCCGACCUGAGAGGGUAAUCGGCCACAUUGGGACUGAGACACGGCCCAAACUCCUACGGGAGGCAGCAGUAGGGAAUCUUCCACAAUGGACGAAAGUCUGAUGGAGCAACGCCGCGUGAGUGAUGAAGGGUUUCGGCUCGUAAAACUCUGUUGUUGGAGAAGAACAGGUGUGAGAGUAACUGUUCACAUCUUGACGGUAUCCAACCAGAAAGCCAUGGCUAACUACGUGCCAGCAGCCGCGGUAAUACGUAGGUGGCAAGCGUUGUCCGGAUUUAUUGGGCGUAAAGCGAGCGCAGGCGGUUUCUUAGGUCUGAUGUGAAAGCCUUCGGCUUAACCGGAGAAGUGCAUCGGAAACCAGGAGACUUGAGUGCAGAAGAGGACAGUGGAACUCCAUGUGUAGCGGUGAAAUGCGUAGAUAUAUGGAAGAACACCAGUGGCGAAGGCGGCUGUCUGGUCUGUAACUGACGCUGAGGCUCGAAAGCAUGGGUAGCGAACAGGAUUAGA
rnacentral:rRNA from 1 species